AUGGCCGAGAUGGCCGUGAAGCUAAAAAGCGCUGCUGACCGUUGCAAGCUUCUUGAAAGGGAAGACCGGGCGGAGCAGACGGACUUGAAGAAGGCCGUUGCCGAUGCCAAGGAUGCUCGCUCUGCGAUGAGAGCUGCAAAGAAGGAGCUGCGUCAGGCCAGAGAAAUCACGGCUGGAAAGCCUUAUAUGCUGCGGAGGAAGUUUUGUGAUCCUAAACAUGCUCCGUUGGACCGACUGUGGAGUACGACGGACACCUAUCUGGAUUUGGCGGCGAGUGCCGCUGAUGCGAUCGAACACUUUCGAGAUCAAGAAGAUCGCGAAGUGGAAAAGCUUUUCUGGUCGCAGUUCCACAAUUCAGAGCGUCCACUGUCAGUGGCCGAUCGUCUGGCCGAAUGGGCCGAACUGAAUAGGCUGUCCGAACUCACCAUGAAGUGUGUCAUGAGUCACCUGUGGCCGGGGAGAUCGGAGCCGAAGAGUUAUUUCAGCUUGGUGCAGCAGUUCCUUGGUGCGAUGCCGCGUAUUAAUGCAAUUAAGAGGUCAGCAUGCAUAGAGGGUGCGCGGAUAGCUCUUGCCCGUGUCAAGACAUACUGGGCGGAAAUGGAGACCACCGCUGUUGCAUCCCAAGAUUCGGAUAGAAGCCGAGUACCUGCCGAGCACUAUUUUCAGGAAGUCCUGCAAGGCGCUCAUGUAAUCGAGACGCAAUGCUCGAAGGAUGCUAUCUUCGAAUAG
rnacentral:rRNA from 1 species